rnacentral:misc_RNA from 1 species
AAGUUUCGUAUGGCUGAAGUUCAGGCUUGCUUUUCUACAUGAGCUUCAACAACCAUGUGGUUGAAUGUUUCAUGUGCAUACCAUUUUUGCUUCAACUUCAAACCGAAAUGUCUGAAGUUGUAUAGGUUUCUGCAACUCCAACAAUCCAAUUAGACCAUUACAUAGUUCAUCACACACGAACAGAAAUGUCUAAAGUCGUAUUGAUAUGAGACCAGGUUAAAAAACUUCAAAG